rnacentral:lncRNA from 1 species
UCAAGAACUUGAGAUGGAUCAGAUUAUAUACUUUCAGAAAAUCUCUUUGGUUUUUUUAAUAUAAAAAAUAAAAUAUCUUAAAAUGAACAGAGAGUUAGAAAAGGGAACCCAUCUGGUUGCUUAGAAUUUUGAAGUUUGAACACACCUGACCUGACCCAACUUUCCCAAUUCUCUGUCGUUCCAUCUGACCCAAUUUUAAGUGUCUUUCC